GAGGAUGUGACUCAGAGGUAGAGCUCUUGCUUAGCAUGCAUGAGGCACGGGGUUCCAUCCCCAGCGCUUUGA
rnacentral:tRNA from 1 species